rnacentral:rRNA from 1 species
GAUAAACGCUAGCGGUAGGCUUAACACAUGCAAGUCGAGGGGCAGCAUAGGGUAGCAAUACUCUGAUGGCGACCGGCGCACGGGUGAGUAACACGUAUGUAACCUACCCUUUACAGGGUGAUAACCAGGAGAAAAUCGGACUAAUACCCCAUAAUAUUAUUUUGGGGCAUCCCGGAAUAAUUAAAGUUUCGGCGGUGAAGGAUGGGCAUGCGGAACAGUAGCUAGUUGGCAGGGUAACGGCCUACAAAGGCUACGAUGUUUAGGGGUUCUGAGAGGGUGAUCCCCCACACUGGUACUGAGACACGGACCAGACUCCUACGGGAGGCAGCAGUGAGGAAUAUUGGUCAAUGGGCGGAAGCCUGAACCAGCCAUCCCGCGUGCAGGAAGACGGCCCUAUGGGUUGUAAACUGCUUUUCCAGGGGGUGAAUUUCUCGGUCGUGACCGGGAUUGACGGUACCCUGGGAAUAAGCAUCGGCUAACUCCGUGCCAGCCGCCGCAGUAACAC